CAAUUGCUCUAUCGCUCUUCUGGCCCAAUCUGCUACGUCGGAUGCACAAUGGGCCGCAAACCCGAGGGUUUGAGAUGUGCAACCACAAUCUUCUCACCUACCCCACCAUCAUCGGCAUCCUCACCCGGGCCCGCCUCAAGGCCCUUGCCAGGCUUCAUUCGGGCCGCCAUUCGAAGAAGAUAACUUCGUAUCAAAGCCAGUGAAGGCGUUUGAGAGCCUUGUUAAGACGUGUAUAUGGUGUGGGUCUGCUCCUUGUGUUUGAUUUUGUUGGUUCAAGCUUGUUUGGAGAUUGCCAUUGAGAUUGUGAGAAUGUGAAGGUCAAGUGGGAUUAGCUUGAAAGGCUGAAAGUUAGUUCCUUGAAUUCUUUGAUUUCGUGGCUUUAGAGGUGUGGAGGUGGGUACGCCGGGUACGAGGUUUAUAGGGACUUUUUGGGUUAGUGUGCGAUGAAUUUGAGGGCAAUGCGAAAAGGGCUUUUACAGUUGGGCCAAUGUGCAUACUUUUAAUGCGUUAAUGGGGAAUUUUUAUCAGCUUGGUUUGGCUGAGAAGGUGGAGAUGAUUUGGAAUGAAAUGGGGGGAUUUGGUUGUGUUCCAAAUGGUCGUUGGUAUUAGCGUUUUGAUAGCAGCCUAUUGCGAGGAAGAGAGAGGAUGAUUGAGGCUGAGGAGUUGUGGAAGGAGAUGGAGGCUGAUGUUGUGGCUUAUAAUACUACUAGUGGUAAGGUUUUGUUAGAUUUGAGAGAUUGAGAAAGCUGAAGAAUUUUUCAGAGAAAUGGGAUUGAAUGGCGUGGGUGUUGGUUGUGUGACUUAUAAGCACCUUGACCAUGGGUAUCGUAGAGUUGGGUAACGUUGCAUGUGUAUUAAGGAUGUUUAUAGAAAGGGUUUUAGGCCAGAGGCUUCAACGUACGGUUGAGCUGGUGCUUCUGGACUGACUUUAGGGGUAGGGUUUAUGAAGCUUUGGAGAUUUUUGAGGGAUGGAGCAGAGAAUUUUGAUUUGAUACCAAAGGACACUAGCAAAAGGUAAGAGUUACGAGGUUUUGAUAAAGGGGUGUGAGAAGGGGAGGAUGGAGGACUUGAUUUGGUCAUUUCACGUGAUCAGCAAUUUUCCUGAUUCAGAGUUGGAAGAAUCAAGAUUCUAGUGACAAAAUCACAAGGAGGGGAGUAACCAGAGAUUGAAUAGAGCUGAAGCCAGAGACAGAAGCCAUGACAAGAAAGCCAUGGCAGCUGAUAUCUGAUAUCUGCUGCAAAACUUUGGUGGGCAAUAUGCCCCAUUAUUACACUGGAGGAGAAAGUCCACAACACUAACUGUUGAGCAAGCUGCAGCCAGUGUGAGAACGGAUAAUACCUGUUAUGAGAUAUAACGAGUUAGUAUCAAAUUGUAACCUAGUUUCUAUCUUAUGAGACCUCGCAAAUUAUUCAAAUGCUGCAUACCCAAUCUCCUACGAUAAUGAUCAGCAGUAUACCCGGCUGCCGGAUAGAGCAUUUAACCAGAACAGCGUAUCCAUCCACCAGGGCUAAAGUGAAACUCCAGGGUAUAACCAAACCCAUGAUUGUUACCAAGUAGCUGUAACAUUUGUAUAUCAUAUGAAGAUUCAAAUUAGUAAUUACAUAAGAAACAGCAAGAAAUUGGUAGUAUACUGUUCCAAAAUGUAUUCCUAUGUUCUUGCUCAUCAUCGUUCAGAGCUGGAAAAAAAUAUGCUGCUAUCUGCUAUCCCGGAAGACUCUUUAAAGGA